rnacentral:rRNA from 1 species
ACGAACGCUGGCGGCGUGCUUAACACCUGCAAGUCGAACGCUGAAGCUUGGUGCUUGCACUGGGUGGAUGAGUGGCGACCGGGUGAGUAAUACGUGAGUAACCUGCCCUUGACUCUGGGAUAAGCCUGGGAAACUGGGUCUAAUACUGGAUAUGACAUGCCACUGCAUGGUGGUGUGUGGAAAGGGUUUUACUGGUUUUGGAUGGGCUCACGGCCUAUCAGCUUGUUGGUGGGGUAAUGGCCUACCAAGGCGACGACGGGUAGCCGGCCUGAGAGGGUGACCGGCCACACUGGGACUGAGACACGGCCCAGACUCCUACGGGAGGCAGCAGUGGGGAAUAUUGCACAAUGGGCGGAAGCCUGAUGCAGCGACGCCGCGUGAGGGAUGACGGCCUUCGGGUUGUAAACCUCUUUCAGCACGGAAGAAGCGAGAGUGACGGUACGUGCAGAAGAAGCGCCGGCUAACUACGUG